rnacentral:lncRNA from 1 species
GUCUAAUUGAACUAAUGUUGUGUCCUAAUUGUUUACAUGGAAAUACUGUUGAGAAGACCAUUUUGUUCACUUGGCAGUUUCUUCACACUUGAGAUGGGGCCUGCCAUCCGAGGGACUGUGUUGUAGAUUGUGAUCAAGGUUGAUUGGCAAAACUGGGCAGCUUUUGCAUGGUGCCUGCUUACUAUAUCUGAAUUCAGCACCUCAUUUUUGUGGGAGUUGUAAUACCCACAAUUAAAAAAAAAGUAUAAAAGAGAAAAAUAUUUGAAGGUGUCUUUAACCUAAUGCGAGGAAUGCAUGUUGUUUUUGUUUGUUUAUUGUAGUGUGAUGCCUUUUCC